CCCUGGUAGCUUAAUCUAAAGCACCGGUCUUGUAAGCCGGAGACUACAGCCUAAUCCCUGUUCAGGGCA
rnacentral:tRNA from 1 species